rnacentral:tRNA from 1 species
ACCUAAUUAGUUUAAUAUAAAAUUAAAAUUUGUGGUAUUUUAGAUACAUAAUUGUCUUGGGUU